rnacentral:piRNA from 1 species
UGGACACACCAGGGUGACUUGACGCUGAC